rnacentral:rRNA from 1 species
UACGGGGGGGGCAAGCGUUGUUCGGAAUUACUGGGCGUAAAGGGCUCGUAGGCGGCCAACUAAGUCAGACGUGAAAUCCCUCGGCUUAACCGGGGAACUGCGUCUGAUACUGGAUGGCUUGAGAUUGGGAGAGGGAUGCGGAAUUCCAGGUGUAGCGGUGAAAUGCGUAGAUAUCUGGAGGAACACCGGUGGCGAAGGCGGCAUCCUGGACCGGUAUUGACGCUGAGGUGCGAAAGCGUGGGGAGCAAACAGG